rnacentral:rRNA from 1 species
GCACAACGCGAAGAACCUUACCAGGUCUUGACAUCCCUCUGACCGCUGCAGAGAUGCGGCUUUCCUUCGGGACAGAGGAGACAGGUGGUGCAUGGUUGUCGUCAGCUCGUGUCGUGAGAUGUUGGGUUAAGUCCCGCAACGAGCGCAACCCUUGAAUUUAGUUGCCAGCGAGUAAAGUCGGGCACUCUAGAUUGACUGCCGGUGACAAACCGGAGGAAGGCGGGGAUGACGUCAAAUCAUCAUGCCCCUUAUGACCUGGGCUACACACGUACUACAAUGGCCGGUACAACGGGCAGCGAAGGAGCGAUCCGGAGCGAAUCCUAGAAAAGCCGGUCUCAGUUCGGAUUGCAGGCUGCAACUCGCCUGCAUGAAGUCGGAAUUGCUAGUAAUCGCGGAUCAGCAUGCCGCGGUGAAUACGUUCCCGGGUCUUGUACACACCG